ACUAUAUUCAGUAAAUGCAUGUUUCAUCAAUUGCUGACACAGGAACUGAAAGAGCAUAUACCCUAAAUUUUCAUUUGUCUUAAAGUUUGUGAGGAAAGGCAAGUUUCAGUAUCAGUAUUCAUUAUCAGUAUCAGUGCUUCACAUAAUAUUACAUAUAAAUAUUAAUAUUGCAUAUAAAUAUCCAUACUAUUCACUAUUUAGGGCUCUUUUAUAAGGGAGCAUCGAUUUUAUUUUAAGGUGGUCCUACAAUAUUUUCGAUUACGGAAAGGGUGGGACAGCACAUCUUGUUUGUGAUUGUUCAGAACCAAGGUCAAUCAUUUGUUGGCGUCUGACGUCAGCGAAACAUAGUUGGAGAGCAGCCCGUACGAGACUCAUCGUGUGGAAAGAUCAUUGUACUUCUCAAAAUGUCCGUUUACUGUCACUGCAGUCGAUGGAAAACCGAGAAAUCACGAGAGGCUUUUAUCGAACACCGAAAAUUUUAAUAUAAUGGAGGAAAAAUGCCGGAAAUUGGCCGAAGAAGGACAUCAAAAAUGGCUUCCAACUUUCACCUGCGGGAGUGUGAUAGGCCUAAUGCUCGUGUGUGCGGUGACCGCUUUCAAUGGACUCAAACUUCAGCUUGUAAAGAAGAGACAGACAUGAAGACAUUUGCAGAAGGAGUAGAAGACAACAGCGGCUGAAGACCUGAAGUAGAUGAAAGAAAACAAGAACAAGAACAAGUGUUAUGAAGCUGUUAAUUAGAUAAAAGACCUCCACCAUCUAACUGGUGUAAACAGUGUUGUUUUCCUCUACUAUGUGUAAUGUAGUCAUGGGCACAUUUCCCAUAGACUUAUGAUACAAGUAGUUAAAUGAUCACAAAGAUGCUCCAAAGACAUAUCAAUCUUUGGAAAAUGCACUCAUAACUACAUUAAUCCUAGCUCUAACAAGUGUUUCCUUGUGAUCAAAUGUCUGUCAUAAUCUCUACUGUGAUUUGGUAAAUGUUUUCUUUCUAAACUUAUGUAUUUUUAAACAUUUUGAGGUUGUAAAUUUAAUUUAUACAGGUUAUAUAUAUAUAAGUGUGUAUAUAUACAUAUAUACACUUUUGAAGUCUGUGUAAAGCAGUUAUACUAAUGUAUUUUUAAAUGAAUUCAUACUUACUUUUUAGAACUAUUCAUUUAAGGUUUUAAUUUUAUUUUUAAUGGUUUUAUAUAUAUUAUUUCUUAGACAUGGGUUUAUUUCUUAAAGGUUUUCAAUUUUAAAUGUUUUAUAUUUUUUGCAGCUACAUUGUUGAAAAAUACUAAGUAUAACUGAUAAGUUAUAGCAGCUUUAAUUUGUUCCAGACAAAAGGUUUUGAAGUAUUUAACUGCAGCUGAGAUAAUGACAGACUGAAAAGAAUAAACGAACACUGACCUUCUGAAAAUGUCUUCACAUCUGUCUCUUCUGUCUGUGCUUUAAUGGUUGAAGUUUGAAUCCUGUGGAGAAAAUCACACCAAACCUUAAUAUAAAGAGGUGACUUUUAACACAUCAAAAUAAAAAGCACAGAGUGUUUCUGGGUAUUGAACUUCAAACUGUCAAAAUAUAAGUAAAAGACAUUAAAUCUACAAAGAAACCAGAGUGUGGACUGACUGGUUCUGGGCUAAUCAGAUCUAGUCCACAAGUUAAAUUUGCUUUAUACACAAAGACAGAAUAAACUGCUCUGACUGGACAACUGAUUCCACCAGCUCCUGAUAUUCACACAACAGCAGUGGAUAGAAAUGUUUUUUCCUUCAGUUAAAUUUAGAAGUUUGGUUGAUAUAAGCCAAAAGUAACAGUGUUUCUAAUGUGACACUGAACUCCACGUGAUUAUGAUUUACUGUACUAAUGAGAGAGAAAGUGUGAAAGAGAUCUGAUGUUUAAAUUCUUCAUUUUUCUUUGAACUGUACCUUCACGAACUAUGUAAAUAAAU